rnacentral:rRNA from 1 species
AUUGAACGCUGGCGGCAGGCCUAACACAUGCAAGUCGAGCGGUUGAAGGGAGCUUGCUCCCUGAUUCAGCGGCGGACGGGUGAGUAAUGCCUAGGAAUCUGCCUAUUAGUGGGGGACAACGUUUCGAAAGGAACGCUAAUACCGCAUACGUCCUACGGGAGAAAGCAGGGGACCUUCGGGCCUUGCGCUAAUAGAUGAGCCUAGGUCGGAUUAGCUAGUUGGUGAGGUAAUGGCUCACCAAGGCGACGAUCCGUAACUGGUCUGAGAGGAUGAUCAGUCACACUGGAACUGAGACACGGUCCAGACUCCUACGGGAGGCAGCAGUGGGGAAUAUUGGACAAUGGGCGAAAGCCGGAUCCAGCCAUGCCGCGUGUGUGAAGAAGGUCUUCGGAUUGUAAAGCACUUUAAGUUGGGAGGAAGGGUUGUAGAUUAAUACUCUGCAAUUUUGACGUUACCGACAGAAUAAGCACCGGCUAACUCUGUGCCAGCCGCCGCCGUAACAC